rnacentral:misc_RNA from 1 species
UUUCCGUGGGUGAACCUGCGGAAGGAUCAUUACAGAGUUCAUGCCCUCACGGGUAGAUCUCCCACCCUUGAAUAUUUAUACCUUAGUUGCUUUGGCAGGCCGUGGAAACACCAUGGGCUCCGGCUUAUGCGUGCCUGCCAGAGGAAACAAACUCUGUUUUUAGUGAUGUCUGAGUACUAUAUAAUAGUUAAAACUUUCAACAACGGAUCUCUUGGUUCUG